CCUACGGGUGGCAGCAGUGGGGAAUAUUGGACAAUGGGGGGAACCCUGAUCCAGCCAUGCCGCGUGUGUGAAGAAGGCCCUCGGGUUGUAAAGCACUUUCAGUGAGGAAGAACGCCUGGUGGUUAAUACCCAUCAGGAAAGACAUCACUCACAGAAGAAGCACCGGCUAACUCCGUGCCAGCAGCCGCGGUAAUACGGAGGGUGCGAGCGUUAAUCGGAAUUACUGGGCGUAAAGCGCGCGUAGGUGGCUUGAUAAGCCGGUUGUGAAAGCCCCGGGCUCAACCUGGGAACGGCAUCCGGAACUGUCAAGCUAGAGUGCAGGAGAGGAAGGUAGAAUUCCCGGUGUAGCGGUGAAAUGCGUAGAGAUCGGGAGGAAUACCAGUGGCGAAGGCGGCCUUCUGGACUGACACUGACACUGAGGUGCGAAAGCGUGGGUAGCGAACAGGAUUAGAUACCCUAGUAGUC
rnacentral:rRNA from 1 species